rnacentral:rRNA from 1 species
UCCAGACUCCUACGGGAGGCAGCAGUGGGGAAUAUUGCACAAUGGGGGAAACCCUGAUGCAGCGACGCCGCGUGAGUGAAGAAGUAUUUCGGUAUGUAAAGCUCUAUCAGCAGGGAAGAAAAUGACGGUACCUGACUAAGAAGCCCCGGCUAACUACGUGCCAGCAGCCGCGGUAAUACGUAGGGGGCAAGCGUUAUCCGGAUUUACUGGGUGUAAAGGGAGCGUAGGUGGCAUGGUAAGCCAGAAGUGAAAACCCGGGGCUCAACCCCGCGGAUUGCUUUUGGAACUAUCAGGCUGGAGUGCUGGAGGGGUAAGCGGAAUUCCUAGUGUAGCGGUGAAAUGCGUAGAUAUUAGGAGGAACACCGGUGGCGAAGGCGGCUUACUGGACAGAAACUGACACUGAGGCUCGAAAGCGUGGGGAGCAAACAGGAUUAGAUACCCCUGUA